AUAACCGCGCGUUUAUUGAUAGUGGGAACCGCUCAUCUUCUUCUUCUACUUCUACGUGACCAGUGACUAUUCUUCAUACAUUUUCAACAAAAACAGCAAUAAAGCUCCGCUCUAGAGCCUACAAUUUCAGUACUGGAAAUGUCAGACUUGAGUAAGACUGUGGAAUCACUUAGGAAAGCUGCCUCAGAGCUAGAGUCGAAGCUGGCCAAUGAGAAUAGGACUGAAAUAAUUCCACCGUUAGUUCCAUCGUCAUCGAUAGUUACCACAACAGCUCCAACAGUUGCGAGUUUAAAUUCGGUAUCCGAGGUCAGACGAAUAUUUGCUCCAUAUGCCAGUACGGGUAACUUCAGUUCCAGAAAAUCAAAGAUAAACACCAAGUGGGCCCCCAAAUGGUCACACAAGUUUAUGUGCCUGUCAGAGCCAAGCCAGGAUUCUGUACCAACUAAAAAACAGAAGGCUAAUCUCCUCAAAGGUGGCCUUGGAGAGAAAAGAUUAAAUUUGGACAAGUCAGACGAUCCACAUCAUCUUGUAAAUUCGGUUUUAACUGCUUAUCCAAAAUUAGGAAAUGGUGGAGGAUUUGAGCUAUUGAGGACGGCGAAUAGAUAUUGUCUUGAAGUCAUUCCUCCACCAAAAUGCGGGUAUACAGCCAUAUAUUUGGCAGAUCAGUGUUCUAUUGGUCAAAGUGUGGUGUAUAUCCGUCCAAUUCAGAAGCAGUUGGAUCUAUCACCUGAAGAUAAUGAACCUUCUGAAAAAUGUCCAUUGGAGGUAUGCUUGAUAUGUGGUGAAUCAUAUCCAGUGAUUAAGCUGAAAGACCAUAUUGCUAGAGAUCAUGGAGAAGACGAUCUACCAAUAAUUAAAAAAAGGAAAAGAAGUAAAUUAUGCCAAUACAUUAAUUCGCCCAGUGAAGAAGUAAGUGAUUAUUGCAUUAUUUUUAAAAAAAGUCUCUAAUGACAAUGUGUAAUGGAACUUAAUACUGCUUUUUCUGUAUUCUGACUCUCUUAUAUAGGUCAAGAAUAGCUGAUCUGUAUUUUCUUUAGUAAAAGCUGGAAGGAGCAGUAGCGUGGAAGAUUUAACUUUAUUUAUUAUGUUGUCAUUCCACAAUUAAUCAAUAAUUAUAAUGACUUCAUUCCAAGAGUGAACAAACCGUUAAUAUAAGGAUAUCAUAAUAUUAAUUGUCACAAAAAAGUUAGUGUCUUUACAAAUAAAACAUAAGAUCUGGAGAGCUAUUUUCAUACCUUAGAUCCUGGGUUCCCUAACUGGGGACCAUUGCUUUGAGGCAACAAGAACUAUGAAUUAUUAAUGAUAUAUAUAUAUAUAUAUAUGUAUCUACCAGCAAAUGAUGAAACAGAUUUGGAUUCGUUGCCAGACCUAGAUAUAAGUCCUGAAUCUCCACACAACAUAUUGCAGGAGUCAAAUUAUGUAAAUGCAGGAACACCAACAGAAAAGUGAAAAUUUUGAACAAGAAAUGGAUAAAAUCAAAGAGAACACAAGUAAAGAUAAACAUUGGCAAGUUUCUGUUGUUCGUGGACAAUUCAUAGAAACAGCAAUGGAUCAAUUAACUGAAGGCAGUGAAUCAGAUUAGUUAAAACCACUUAAGGUUAAUUUCAUUGGUGAAGAUGGGGUUGAUCAUGGAGGCUUAACUAGAGAAUUUUUCACCUUAUUAUUUUCCAAAUCCCCUGUUUUUGAAGGCGACAGUUUGUCUCUCCGACCAGAUUUGAUUGAAGAAGAACAUUAUAAGAUUGUUGGUCUAAGCAUUUUGAAUGGUCACACUGGCCCUAAAUCACUGAAUAGAAUCGCUACAGAGUUUAUUCUUAGUGGAAAAAUACCUCAGUUUAGAGAAUUGGAUGCAGGCGAAAUUGAUAGAGCAGAUGCCUCUGCUAUCAUUUCAGAUAUAGAAAAUUCUACUGUUGAGAAUAUACAUGAUGUAUACCAAACCCAUAUCGAUGCACUUAAUCAGACAGGAUUUUCCAAGAUUAUGACUAUCGACAACAAGCAGGAAGCUAUUAGUGCUGUGAAAGGCUACUACAUGCUUUUCAGAGUAAUGGCUCCCUUACUUCAGUUUAUGUAAGGACUUCAACAUCUCAAUAUCCUAACUGUGUUGAAAAAAUAUCCUGAUGAAGGUAGACGGGUAUUGAGCAGGACAAUGUUCGAAAGUUGCGAGGAUAUAGAAAGAUUAUUUUUACCGUUUUUCUCUGAGGAAACUGCCAAGGAG